rnacentral:rRNA from 1 species
UACGGAGGAUCCGAGCGUUAUCCGGAUUUAUUGGGUUUAAAGGGUGCGUAGGUGGAUUGGUAAGUCAGUGGUGAAAGUUUGCAGCUUAACUGUAAAAUUGCCGUUGAAACUGCCGGUCUUGAGUGCAAAUGAGGUAGGCGGAAUGCGUCGUGUAGCGGUGAAAUGCUUAGAUAUGACGCAGAACUCCGAUUGCGAAGGCAGCUUACUGGGAUGCAACUGACGCUGAGGCACGAAAGCGUGGGUAUCAAACAGGAUUAGAUACCCCGGUAGU